rnacentral:tRNA from 1 species
CGCGGGGUGGAGCAGCCAGGUAGCUCGUCGGGCUCAUAACCCGAAGGUCCCAGGUUCAAAUCCUGGCCCCGCUACCA